rnacentral:rRNA from 1 species
AUGGAUCCGAGGCCGGGUCCCUUCUGGUGUGGAGGUGCUCAAACGGAACGACCCGGGAGAUGGGAUGUGCCCGCUCUGUGGGACGGAAACCACAUCUUCUCCCGCGUGUCCAUUCAAUUCCUAUGGAGUUGCCUACGUGAAGCGGUGGGUGGUAGUUGGUGCCACAACAACUUCCCCAACCUCUUCGUUGAACUCCAGUCUUCACCGCCAGCUCUUUGGCGGCCGCUUAGCCGCCCCCAAGACCGAGACGCCAUCAACACCAUCAUUGCUGAUCUUCGCGUGAUGGCUCUAUGCUUGGCGCCGCCACUAUCUCCUUCAUCAUCAGAAGCCCUCGCUCAUGUCACCAAUGACCAAUCCCUGCGUUUCAAAAGGAAAAAAAAGACCAAUCCCUGCGGGCUCUCUCUCUCUUAUUGCGAAAGCCCUGCUCUCUCCUUGUCGGCGCCGGCGACGAGGGGAGCUCUUUCUCAGCGUGCGCAACAUCGACGGUCGGAGAGCUGUCAAUCCAAGUCGCAGCGGCAGCUAGCGAUUCUGCUGUUUCUUGCCCCUAAUCUUCUGGUGUACCUGUAG